UCAAGCGAAUAAGCGUAUGUGGUGGAUGCCUAGGCGACAGGAGGCGAUGAAGGACGUGUUAGCCUGCGAAAAGCCUCGGGGAGUUGGCAAAAAGCAUUGAUCCGAGGAUGUCCGAAUGGGGAAACCCGGCCGCGAGGCCAUUUUGCUCUGAAUAUAUAGGGGCAAAAAGCAACACCUGGGGAACUGAAACAUCUAAGUACCCAGAGGAAAAGAAAUCAACCGAGAUUCCCUAAGUAGUGGCGAGCGAACGGGGAUUAGCCCUAAACCUGAGAUUGCGAUAGUGGAACGCUCUGGAAAGUGCGGCCACAGAGGGUGAUAGCCCCUUACACGAAAUCAAUAUCUCAGCUAUACGAGUAGAACGGGACACGUGAAAUCCUGUUUGAAUAUGGGGGGACCAUCCUCCAAGGCUAAAUACUACCUGUCGACCGAUAGUGAACUAGUACCGUGAGGGAAAGGCGAAAAGAACCCCGGAGAGGGGAGUGAAAUAGACCCUGAAACCGCAUACGUACAAGCAGUCGGAGCCUCUAACGGGGUGACGGCGUACCUUUUGUAUAAUGGGUCAGCGACUUACUUCUCAGUGGCGAGCUUAACCGAAUAGGGGAGGCGUAGGGAAACCGAGUCUUAAUAGGGCGAUUUAGUCGCUGGGAGUAGACCCGAAACCGGGCGAUCUAUCCAUGACCAGGGUGAAGGCAGGGUAGUACCUGCUGGAGGCCCGAACCCACUCCUGUUGAAAAAGUAGGGGAUGAGUUGUGGAUAGGAGUGAAAGGCUAAUCAAGCUCGGAGAUAGCUGGUUCUCCUCGAAAGCUAUUUAGGUAGCGCCUCGUGUCUCACUCCCAGGGGUAGAGCACUGUUAUGGCUAGGGGGCCCCUUGGGGCUUACCAAACCAUUGCAAACUCCGAAUACUGGGAAGUGCAAUCACGGGAGACACACGGCGGGUGAUAAGGUCCGUCGUGAAAAGGGAAACAGCCCAGACCGCCAGCUAAGGUCCCAAAGUUACAGCUCAGUGGUAAACGAUGUGGGAAGGCUAAAACAGCCAGGAGGUUGGCUUAGAAGCAGCCAUCCUUUAAAGAAAGCGUAAUAGCUCACUGGUCGAGUCGGCCUGCGCGGAAGAUAUAACGGGGCUAAGCUGUACACCGAAGCUGCGGAUGCCGAAAGGCGUGGUAGAGGAGCGUUCCGUAAGCCUGCGAAGGUGUGUUGUAAAGCAUGCUGGAGGUAUCGGAAGUGCGAAUGCUGACAUGAGUAGCGAUAAUGCGGGUGAAAAACCCGCACGCCGAAAGCCCAAGGUUUCCUGCGCAACGUUAAUCGGCGCAGGGUGAGUCGGCCCCUAAGGCGAGGCUGAAAAGCGUAGUCGAUGGGAAACAGGCUAAUAUUCCUGUACCUCUUGGUACUGCGAUGGGGAGACGGAGAAGGUUAGGUUGGCCAGGUGUUGGAUAUCCUGGUUUAAGCGUGUAGGGAGUCCCCUUAGGAAAAUCCGGGGGGGCAAUUCUGAGGCGUGAUGACGAGCUCUCCUAGGAGAGCGAAGCAACUGAUACCCGGCUUCCAUGAAAAUCCUCUAAGCUUCAGGUACCAAAGACCGUACCCCAAACCGACACAGGUGGGCUGGGUGAGAAUCCCAAGGCGUUUGAGAGAACUCUGGUGAAGGAACUAGGCAAAAUAGCACCGUAACUUCGGGAGAAGGUGUGCCCCGUGUACGUGAAGAGCUUGCGCUCGGAGCGGAAUGGGGUCGCAGUGACCAGGUGGCCGCGACUGUUUAUUAAAAACACAGCACUCUGCAAACACGAAAGUGGACGUAUAGGGUGUGACGCCUGCCCGGUGCCGGAAGGUUAAUUGAUGGGGUCAGCCGAAAGGCAAAGCUCUUGAUCGAAGCCCCGGUAAACGGCGGCCGUAACUAUAACGGUCCUAAGGUAGCGAAAUUCCUUGUCGGGUAAGUUCCGACCUGCACGAAUGGCGUAACGAUGGCCACGCUGUCUCCACCAGAGACUCAGCGAAAUUGAAUUCGCUGUUAAGAUGCAGUGUACCCGCGGCUAGACGGAAAGACCCCGUGAACCUUUACUAUAGCUUUGCACUGGACUUUGAACAUGCUUGUGUAGGAUAGGUGGGAGGCUUUGAAGCAGUGACGCCAGUCAUUGUGGAGCCAGCCUUGAAAUACCACCCUGGCGUGUUCGGGGUUCUAACCUAGGUCCGUUAUCCGGAUCAGGGACAGUGUAUGGUGGGUAGUUUGACUGGGGCGGUCUCCUCCCAAAGAGUAACGGAGGAGCACAAAGGUGCUCUCAGCGCGGUCGGAAAUCGCGCAAUGAGUGUAAAGGCAGAAGAGCGCUUGACUGCGAGACAGACACGUCGAGCAGGUACGAAAGUAGGUCUUAGUGAUCCGGUGGUUCUGUAUGGAAGGGCCAUCGCUCAACGGAUAAAAGGUACUCCGGGGAUAACAGGCUGAUACCGCCCAAGAGUUCAUAUCGACGGCGGUGUUUGGCACCUCGAUGUCGGCUCAUCACAUCCUGGGGCUGAAGCCGGUCCCAAGGGUAUGGCUGUUCGCCAUUUAAAGUGGUACGCGAGCUGGGUUUAGAACGUCGUGAGACAGUUCGGUCCCUAUCUGCCGUGGGCGUCGGAGACUUGAAGGGAGCUGCUCCUAGUACGAGAGGACCGGAGUGGACGUACCUCUGGUGUUCCGGUUGUCACGCCAGUGGCAUUGCCGGGUAGCUAUGUACGGACGGGAUAACCGCUGAAAGCAUCUAAGCGGGAAGCCUCCCCAAAGAUUAGGUCUCCCUGGACCUUUAAGGUCCCUGAAGGGCCCUAUCGUGACUGGGAAACAGAUCGGAAGAGCACACGUCUGAACUCCAGUCACCGGCUAUGAUCUCGUAUGCCGUCUUCUG
rnacentral:rRNA from 1 species